GUAGUCCACGCCGUAAACGAUGAUUACUCGUUGUUGGCGAUAUAUUGUCAGCGACUGAGCGAAAGCAUUAAGUAAUCCACCUGGGGAGUACGUUGGCAACAAUGAAACUCAAAGGAAUUGACGGGGGCCCGCACAAGCGGAGGAACAUGUGGUUUAAUUCGAUGAUACGCGAGGAACCUUACCUGGGCUUAAAUGGCUUACAUCUUCGGAGAUGCCUGCUGAAAGGCAGGUGAAAGAGUCAAGGUGCUGCAUGGCUGUCGUCAGCUCGUGCCGUGAGGUGUCGGGUUAAGUCCCAUAACGAGCGCAACCCCUAUUGUUAGUUGCCAGCGGGUCAAGCCGGGAACUCUAGCAAGACUGCCACCGUAAGGUGAGAGGAAGGUGGGGAUGACGUCAAGUCAGCACGGCCCUUAUGUCCAGGGCUGCACACGUGUUACAAUGGCCAGUACAAAGGGCAGCUACCUGGUGACAGGAUGCAAAUCCCUAAAACUGGUCUCAGUUCGGAUCGGAGUCUGCAACUCGACUUCGUGAAGUUGGAUUCGCUAGUAAUCGUAUAUCAGCAACGAUACGGUGAAUACGUUCCCGGGCCUUGUACACACCGCCCGUCAAGCCAUGGAAGCCGGGGGUACCUGAAGUCCGUAACCGCAAGGAUCGGCCUAGGGUAAAACUGGUGACUGGGGCU
rnacentral:rRNA from 1 species